CCUUGUGCCUGGUCUGUCUCCACAGUUGGAAUUGGGAAAAACACAUGGGCACAGCUUACAGGUGGAAUGAUGACUCAUACCUGAAGAUAUGACUCUUGUAGUUAGUCUUAGAGCAAAAACUAAGGUUCUGGGUCUUCAACUUGUAGGAUGGCCAGAGACUAUUAUGAGUUGCAUGCACAUUGUAUGAAGCUCUCAAGUGCUACAGAGUGCCAAAAUAGAGCCCAGCACACAGGGAAAAUCGUGGCUGUUGUAUGCAAACUCAGAUCAAAGUGAGGAUUAUCAGCCUUCCACAUUAACAGAACCCACUGUUGAGGUUCCGAAUCACACACCAAGAGGCAAUGGAGUUGGAAUUGUGAAUCUCAUGCAUCAAUCCAAUCGACAGAUGAGGUGAUGACACCAAGUCCUGGAUUUAGAACACCGGGGGGCUGUGCUUCCCCUAUCAAAACAGUCUGUUGGUGAGAUUUGGGCUCUUGUGCAUUGAUUUAGUCCACUGUUGUGACUGACUUGAAUACUUGAACUCAACCCACAGGAAGUGUCGACUUUUAUACCUCUAGCUAUGUCCUGGAAAAUGUCCCUGAUUGUGAAUUUCUGCUACUGACUGGGUCCAGGUCUGAGUUCCAUUGCUGUUCCUGUGAUCUGGGUUCAAAAAUGAGUCACUUUCUCACCUGUGACUGCACCUACAUAUGACAGUCACAGUUCCAAGUCUGGAUUGCAUUUGCAUGUGAGAUUUAGGCCUCACCAGUGAGCACUGUCUAUAUGUGAGGGUGACAAUUCUAUUCAGCUGGAUGUGCAUAUAAGAGUCACAAUCUCACCUUUGUUCUGGGUCCUGUUAUGACACUGUAUUAUUUGAGGACUUUACACAGUAUGCCUUGGUAUCAUAAUACACUAUGACCUUUAUUUAAGUAGGAGACCAAGGACCUUGCCUGUUGCUCUAAGCCUAGAUAUCAGAGUCAAAAUCUGUUCUCUUAGCUGGAUCCAGGUAUGUGAGUUAUCACCUCACCUGUGAGCUGUGACCAUGUAUAUGUCACAAUUUCACCUGUGGGCAGGAACCAGACAUGAGAGUCCUAUCACCUGGGUGCUGGGUGUAAGAGUCAACAACUCCUGAGACUUAGGUUCAAGUGCAUGAGUCACAAUCUCAACAGUGGAUUGCAUCCUGCCAUGAGAGCCCCAAUCCCUUCUCCAAGCUGUGUUCCAGUAGAGGAGUCGCAACAUCAAUGGUGUGCUGAAUCCUGGUUGGAGAGUUCCCACUUCACCUGUGGACUGGAUCUGUAUAUAAGAGGAGAGAUGUCGACUCUCAUGCCUGGGCUUAGGGCAAUGGGCAUGAUCCUACAUUUGGGAUUGUAGCAACAACUCUUGACUGCCCUUGGGUGUGAGAUUCAGAACCUCAAUUGUGACCUGUGUACACUUGGGCAUGUGACAAUUUCUACUUUUGGCUGUGUGUUCAUACAAGACUCUCAAUCUCACCUGUGUUCUGGGCCCUGUUAUUAGACUCUCUGUACCACCCACGGGGUUUAUUCAA